UGGAGGUGGUGCCGGAGCGGGGGGACAUGGCGGCGGCGAGGCCGGUGCCGCUGAUGGGGGAGAGCCGGGAGGCGCGGCUGAUGCGGUACAGGGAGAAGCGGAAGAACCGGCGGUUCGAGAAGACCAUCCGGUACGCGUCCCGCAAGGCCUACGCCGAGACGCGGCCGCGGAUCAAGGGCCGCUUCGCCAAGCGCGCCGACCACGACGCCGACGCCGACGACGCUGAGGCCGAGGCCGCCGUGCCGUCGUCGUCGUACGUGCUCGACUUCGGCUACGGCGUCGUGCCAAGCUUCUGAUGAUGGCGACGGUCUCGGUCCACGGAUGGCCGGCCGGCGGCGCCGCGCUUGACCCGGCUC
rnacentral:lncRNA from 1 species